rnacentral:lncRNA from 1 species
UGCUUCUCAGUCUAUUUUUUUAUGUUGCAUUUUGUAAACUGUUCUUUGUAUUUUGGUCGCAUUUAUUUUUUGCCAUGGCAUUUUCAGCUUGUCUUCGACUUAUGAGUUUGAAUAUGACUUUUGUAUCUUUUAACUAGUUUCUGUGUUUAUUUAUGGUUGGACUGUCAUGAUCACUGUGUCGAUGCUUCUUUCAUUUUGUGGCACAAUAAAUAAGAACAAGAACCUUUAUUUACAUUUGAUUUUACCUUUAAGGGUAGUAGAAUGCACAAACAGAUUAUACAUAUAUACAAAUAUAAGAUAGUUCUUACACACAUAAAGUGCUACAAUAAUCACAUCAACAACAAAAACACAACUGUAUCAUAUCAUAUUAAAUUUGUAAAUAACAAAGUUUCUAUAUAUAUUUAAAAUAAAACAGUUGUAUUAAUUUAUAGUUAACUGUUUGAAGGCAAAAUGUAUAAGCAUUGAAAAAGGCUGACAAAUUGAUGACAAAUCUGGCAUAAGAUUUUAUAGUACACAUUUGGGGUGAUUGAGUGCAAGGAAAAAAAUAUCAAGCAUGAAAUCAAACUAUUAUUAUUGUUGCAAAAUCAUAUCCGACAAAAAGCCUCCUCGUGGGGUUAUUGAGUAUUUAUUUAUUCAGCUGUUUUUAUAGUGAUUAUUUGGGUAUUUGGUUACCAGACCAAAUAUUUUAUGAUUAUUUAAUUAUUUGAUAAUCUAGAACUGUAUUUUUGAUUAUUUGAUUAUAUUGUUUAGAAAAAUAAUUAAUGAAUCUGUGAUUAUAUUGUUAAAAAAAU